AUUAUGAUGAUGAUGAUAAUGAGAAAACUCCUAGAAAAUGUUCUUGUUCAUCUUCUUACAAUGGUUCUAAUUCUAAACAUGAGAAUGUUCGUAAUUCUUAUGUUUGUUUUGUUAGAGGAGGUGGUGGUAGAUAUUUGACAAGAAAUUUGAGAUACAAUGUGAAUAAAUAUGGUACUUAUGAUAGAAAUGUUGUAUAUUGACCUAAUAAUGACUUUAAUGCUUUGAUUAAAUGAGAGCAUUUUGUUGAACAACAUGAGUGUGAUGAAGCAUGCAUUGACCAAUUUAUCCAAAAGAGAGAACACGUUUCAUGUUUAUUGUAAAAUUGAAGGACUAGUGGUGCCAUGAUUUAUACCUAACAAGAGUUCCAUAAAUACUGCUAGUUCAAGCAUGGUGAACACUUAAAUUGAAUACUAGGAAACAUCCUCAACCAUAGAGAUUGUCAUGGUCAAAUGAAAAAGAAAUUGUGGAGAUCACAAAACAAGUUUUGGUAAAGUUUCAAGUGGGUAAAUUUCAACAUGAAAGUACUAUGUGAUGUUAUCCCAAUGAAAGCUUGUCAUUUGUUAAUUGGAAGGCCUUGGACAAUUAAAAGGGAAGCUAUAUUUGAUAAAACGACUAACAAGUGUCACGUAAUUUUUAGAGGUCAAGAGUAUGUCUUUAUUUCAUAUACAUUUUUGAAGGUGAAAGAAAGAUACUUCGAAAUGCUAAAAUUGACAAGAAGAAAGACAAAGCUUAAGGAAAAAGAUAUCGUUGUUAAAGAGAAGACCAUGAAGAGAAAUUCAAUGACUCUCAAAGCGUAAAGUACAAGGUUGAAGUGAAGAGUCAUCCGAAUUAUUCAAAACGAAUUCUUGGGCCUUGUCCCCUUCAUAUGAUGUUGAGAGAGAAAAGAUUGAGAGGAGUAAGCGAGUGACAAGUGGCAACUCAAGAGUGGAAAAAAAGAGCUUGAGUUGCGGGUAAUGAGUGAGUUGUCACCAGAAAAAACAGAAGCAUUUGAAAAGAGAAAAAUGAAAUGAAAAGAGGAAAAGAAAAUUGAGAGAAGUGAAGAAAAAGAUAGUUUGAGAGAGCUUGCUUCCUGUUUUCAAUCUAAUGCUAAUCCUUAUUCUUCUCCUAGUUGUAAUGUCUCUUUUGUAGGUAAGUUUGAAAAUAAAGGCAUGAAGGAAGAAACAAUGGAAAGCCUUCUACUUUGAGGAUUAAAGAGUUGGCCGAUACACCUACUACUUCUUCAAGUUAGAUGGCGUAGCAACUUUUGAAGGCUACAAGAUAUAUUGUCAUCCACUAGGGGAUACAGUGUGGGAGGAAUAUUAUAAUGAGCUCACAAAUGAAAGUGAAGUAUUUGAUGGUGACAAUAGUAUUAGUUUUUUUACUUAUUCUUCUCCAUAUUUUGUAGACACAUUAUUGUUAGAUUAUGCCAUUAUUUCUUUUUCAAAAUGAGGUGACAAGUCAUUUAAAGAUCGGCAUGAUCUAUUUAAAGAACAUAAUUUUUUUCCA